rnacentral:rRNA from 1 species
UACAGAGGGGGCAAGCGUUGUUCGGAAUUACUGGGCGUAAAGGGCGCGUAGGCGGCCUUCUAAGUCGAACGUGAAAUCCCCGGGCUCAACCCGGGAACUGCGUCUGAUACUGGAAGGCUUGAAUCCGGGAGAGGGAUGCGGAAUUCCAGGUGUAGCGGUGAAAUGCGUAGAUAUCUGGAGGAACACCGGUGGCGAAGGCGGCAUCCUGGACCGGCAUUGACGCUGAGGCGCGAAAGCGUGGGGAGCGAACAGG